CGAUCCAGCCACCAUCCCCACGCCCCCACUCCCUCUCCCAUCCAGCCACCCACCAUCGUCGGCGUCGGCCCGCCACCGCCCCGGGAAUCGGCCGCCGCGCCGCCCCCGCUCCGAGAACCGGCCGCCGCUUCCCUCCCGGACCGCGCCGCCGCCGCCGCUUCCCUCCCCGGAGUGCGCCGCCACCGCCGUCACCCUCCACGGAUCAUGCCGCCGCCGCCUCCCUCCCCGGAUCGCGCCGCCACCGUCCGCCGCUAGUUACCGCUGCCUGUGCAGUCCUUCGCUAGCUGCCGCUGCAGUCUACCGCUAGCUCUCGCGGGGGAGGCAGUGCUGCUCCGGCUACCCAUGCUUCACCGGCUGCCGCCGCGAACGGCGUCCGGACGCCAUCACGUACUGCCCCCCGGCGCCGCCUCCAGCGCGUACCUGCUACAGCCUCGGGACAGACCUCUUCACGCGGGCGACUGGCCGCUCAAACUUCCCCUCGCCGGCCGUCGUGGGCCUCUGUAUCCUCUCAUGGCGGCUCCUCCCCUGUGGCACAAGCAAGGUCAACUGCGGCUGGAUGAGACUCAAAAAAAUGGUGGUACGUACUGGAACAAAUACUCCUGGCAUACCCAUGUCGUUGGCAGCAAAAGGUCAUCGGGCUGGGCACCUGCUGCUUAUGUGUUGUACGCCUUGGGCGUCCCUGUGCUGGUGAUGAGCGUGAUGGCCGUGCAUUGACCUGCAUCGCCUGUCCAAACUGUGCCGGCCAUGCGUCCGACGACCUCGUCCAUCCCUGAUCACCUCUUCCGCAAUCAGCCGCACAUACACAGACAUGCCUGUGCUGUAUUAUACUUGAACUUGAGAGCUUCUGAACUCUCUGAAUUUGUGUGCAUGUUUU